AUCUUUUUUUUUAUUUUACAAUUUACAAUUUUUUUUUUUUCACGGGUGGAAAAGUUUUAAAUACAAAAAUCUUUCGCGAAGCCGAGCCGAGACCCGGUCCGCUAGAAAAAUUCAUUAAUGAUCCUUCCGCAGGUUCACCUACGGAAA
rnacentral:misc_RNA from 1 species